ACACACACACACACACAUACACACACAGAACAACAACAAGUAACAAUCAGUCAUGUUUUGAUUUGACAGGUAGGGCUAUGACAACACACACUUACAUGCACACACAGACACACACUCUGUCUCGGAUUGAAAUGGUCUUUUUGCUGAAUGACUGAAUGACGCUCAAUAAAGUAACAAGUCCAAUCCACUUCCUGCCAGACGUCUGGGGCCGAGCCACGAACAGAAGCUGGUGGUGGAGAUAGGGAGAAGAUUAGCGUCUGGCUAGGGGAGGAGCUACGCUAGGCUAGGAGCUGAGCUAGGGGGAGAUCUGCCAGGGUUGGGCCAUUUGUCUGCAGAUCUUAACCAAGCUGUUCUGUGGAGCUAUUAAGGAAAAUUGAUUUAGUGGAAAAACGAUUUGCACACCGCUGUCUGUCAUCUCCAACGAGACGUGGAAAUGAAAUCAGGAAGAAAGGGCCACUAAUCCACACAGCUCGCAGACUGCCCUGGUUCCUGAUCAAGGGAAACCACAGCGAACGAGACGAAGCGAAGCGAAUGUUCUCCUCGCGUUACUCCGGCGAGGCUGCUCGCGUGAACCACUUCAUCAAAAACUCACGGCGAAGUUCAAAUAUUUCCACUCAAGCGAACACGCGAAUGAGUGUGAACGCAGUCAGAUUCCCAGCAGACACACUCACCAACUUCUGAGACAGGGAAGGGCAAGGAGUAAAACUGUUCUGUGUUUCGGACCCUGGGGACUAGCAACACUCACGCAGCUCAGAGCUAGGACAGCGGGCCGGGCGGGGGCCGGGAGGAAAGAGGACACGGAGACAGAGAUUCAUUGGUCCGGGGACCAAUGAGCAUGAAGAAGCUCAGGUCAGCUGACUCUGGGGACUCGGCGAGAGCAGAGCCCCCCCUCCUGAGCGCGGGGAAGACGAGUGGCUUGCUGGAGAGCAGAUGUGUUAGGGUGUUAGGAUGUAAUGGUAAGAUAUUGAAGAAGCAAUUCAUGCUGUGUUUGUGUUCGUCUGCACUGUCCUUUAAAAGGACUGUGAUAGAAUCUGAGAUUCCUUCUCAAUACGGCCUCUUUGGCCGUUAGGUGAACUGCGUUCGUUCAAGCUGGGGCAUGGCGGCACCCGAGGGCGAGCUCCCUGGGUUGAGAGAGAUAUGACCAGACGUCUGGAGGCACUGAGGGGAUUUGAUGACACUUCCUUUUUUCCGGCAAAACUGUCCCGGCUUUGCAAAGGAGAGAGGACAACAAUUCCUUCAAGUCACCUGGGUUGUACCUUAUUAGCAAGCCAGCUCAUGAGGAAAAUACCUUGUGAGGACGCAACCAAUAACUAAUGAGCAUGCUAGCUUAUAAGGGCGCUACAUUAUGAGGAUGCUAUCUAAUGAGGGCAUUAGCUAAUGAGCAUGCUACCUUAUAAGGGCGCUAUGUUUUGAGGAAGCCAUCUUAUGAGGACACCAGUAAUGAGCAGGCGCAUUAUACGUUAUGAUGAUACCGUCUUAUGGGGACAUUAGCUAAUGAGCAUGCUACCUUAUAAGCGUGCUAUGUUAUGAGGCUGCACACUUACGAGGACAUAACUGACGAGAUGAGGACUAACAAACUAACGAGAACAUGUUCCCAAGAGCCCAUUCUCCACACACACACACACACACACACACACACACAGACACACACACACACACACACACACACACACACACACACAGAUGGUCCUCCGGUCGUUUUAACGUGGUUUUAACAUGUUACACUGUAGUCAGCGUAAGAACCAUUGUUUCCAUGGCGAUACUGCUCGUUAGCGGCGGCGGUCAUGGUAGGGUCCUCUGACCAACGGAUAUGAGGAGACGACUAAAUGUGGGUCGGAUGUGCAUUGAUCCAACAGGAUAUCAUUUGCGAUAGUGGGGGGACUUGGAGGACACAGCAACGAUGCUAUCAAUAUUAUUUGUAAUUGGAAUGAUAAGCCCCCCCCCCCCCCUCCACCCUCAGUCUGAGUGAGCCUCAAUGGCCAAGCGGAACAGCGCCGUUGUUGUAAAGCAGGGACCCUGGGUCGAACCUCCUCCAUGCCUCUGAAGGACCGUUUGAAUAUUGAACGGCACGUUGCGUACAUCAAUACAUCAGUGCCACUCUUUUUCUUUUUACUAUGUUGUGCUGUUUAGUUUUCCUAGCUGCUCCGAUUUUGAUUGCAUGCUUUGAUCGUCCUCGGCCCCGCUCGAGAGUCGCUGUGCAUAAAGGUGUCGGCUAAAUGUCUGAAUACAAAUGUGAGGCAUGAUUAUUGUUUUUUGUUUUUACAGAAAGGAAUUCCAUUAAUGUGUCGUUUGAUUCAGGGAAUAAGGAGCAGCAGAAGCUGUUCGGUCCGUCGCUGCCGGGCUCGGUGGCGUAUCUUUGAAGUGAAAGGUUUGUAUUCAGAAGAGGUCGGGAUUGGCCUGGCUCCGCCCGCCUAAGUAGUACUCCCGCUCAAUUUUAAUUUCCCUUCAGUACUACUGCUGCGUUUUAAUAUCCAUCCGUCUCGGAGGUCCGAGGACGUUGCCUAGCGACACGCACAAACACGCCCCUUUUCCUCGGAAGGCGAACUCGCCACUCGGAUGAACUCAGUGGUGACCGAGCGAAAUUCCGAGACAGAAUUCAAGAUGGCUGCGCCCAUCGUGACUUGAAGUAUGAACUGUUUUCAUUGUGCUUGGACCACUAUGGUGGUUUAAACGGCAAUUUCAAUCACUCGUAUUACUGCAAUACCUUACUGCGUCCGUAUCUAUAAGUAGGCUAUAGCCUAUAGCCUACUUAUUUUGGAGCGCCUGGUCCUCUGCCAAUGCUACCGCGACAACAGCUUUCCGGGGGGCGUCCAUGUUUUCCUCCAACGACCGAGCGAAAUAAUAAAACGCUUGAGGUGUGGGCGUGGCGUCAAUUCCGAGAUCCGAGUCGGUUUGCAGAGAAUACUCGAACGCAGCAUACGUCUGGGUCCGCGGAAUGUUAGUGGGUUUUCUCCGUCCACAUCGUGUGUGUCCAAUCAGCGGACAGAGGGAGUGGCUUAGAACAUGACGUUAAAAUCAGCUCUCGUUGACGGACGUCUUCACGCACUGUGUUUGGUUUGUUGACAGCCUGCGCGCAACGUGAUGCCGGCCAAACGUUAGCGAUUGGUAAUGGCAGAUCCAGAGUGUCACUGGGCAGAUCCAGUUGUAUUAAACUUCAACAGACACCCGCCUUCAAGUGAGUUAACGUUUGUCAAUUGAGUGGGUCCAGACUCUCUGUGUAAAUGAAAUGAAGUUCGAGAGUCUGGUGGGACCAGGCUAGGUCGGGAUAGUCACUCUUUAGCUCCUAGCUCCUAACAUGGAAACACCAGAACAUUUCUGGAGACCGAACAGCAGACUUUACACAGCGAAAUAAUAUUCCUCGAAGCUGAAAGAUACCUGUCCAACGUUUGUUUUCUGCGGCUCCUGCAUGUGCAAAUCAAUACGUUCACCUCGUUAGCACAAUGGUUUUAAAACCCGAGUCCCCGCCCGUGUCCGACCCGACACCAUCAGACAAAGCGCAUUGCUUUCAAGUGAAUACACUUAAGCUUGUUUCAAGUGAAGACACUUAAGCUAUCCAGCAUAGCAUCAUAAUCUCCCCAAUAUUCCCCCCUGCUGCCAAAUGAAAAGUCAAUGUCCUGAACCCCUCCUACGGCCCACGCCGGCUAAUGCUAAACACUGAUCCUCAAGGUCAGGCCGGUAAUGACCCGGCCGCCGCAACGUUAUUGCAUUCCCGCCAAAACUGCAGCAUUAGCAUUGCCGCACCGAAACGUAGCACCUGGGCUGGAAUUGGCCGAGUGAUAGAGCGCGCGCCGUUAGCAAGGGGAAAGAGCGAUAUGCUACGCUCUGGUCUGUUAUGGGCUGGCCCCACCAUCACCAUUAGCCCUGAGCUAAUGGAGUGGGCUGAUAUCCCUUUUCUGCAUCGCACAUGGACUAGCUGGGCUAAGGUGCAGGGAGGGGAGCUUUGGGAGUGAUGAAUGAUUGUAAGGAGGAUUCGGGGUAUUGAAACAGACAGAGCUGCUGUUAGUCACAGUAUUUCCCAACCUUUGGGGUUGGAAUCUCAAUUGGGGUCGCCUGAAAUGCAUUCGGACUCACAGGGAGAUUGCUGGCUCAUGAGCUAUAGAUAUUUCACGCUACAUUUUUUUAUUUGAAUAUUUUGAAAGGUAGAGGUCCCAUCUACGUAUGUGAACAGACUAAUGAUUCGUAGCAAUGGGGGAACUACUAUUAUUUCACUGGGACAUAUAUAGAUGGAUACUAGGGAUCUUCUCCUCUCAUAUAUCAAACUAUAGAAUAAUGUUUAAAGUCGGAUGGUCAGAACUCCAACCUGGAUGGUUUUGGCUUUUCACGUUCUUUCACUUCUAAUUUGUUGCGGCUAAUCAUGUUGGGGGAGAUGGGGAUCUGUUGAACAAAAGCUCAGCCAACCCUUGAAAACGAUGCAGAAGAAUCUGUAAAAGGUUCAAAUCAACACCAUGUAGUCCGGCCACUUUAGCCACAAUACAAAAAUCUGCUUCUGAACGUUUGAGAAGUUCCUCUUUUUGUUAGAAUGUCUGCCUCCCUGGCGAAACAGGUAGGAAGAUGUUUCCGGCCCUGGCUCUAGGCUGUCUCCCCCCAGAAUCUUCCAAUCUUUCCAUCGUAAAGAAGGUUGGGAAACACUGCAGCGGUGACAUCUUGCUAUGUCGUCAAGGCUAUAAUACGGUCAUGGUAUGCUAAAAUGAUGAGUUCAAAUAAAGUUGUGAUAAAGUUAACAGCAAUGAAGAGGCUAGCUAAGUGGUCGUUCCAGAAUCUUUGUAUUCAUCUUAACCUCUCCAGUAAAUCAGGUGUGAUCGUCAGCCAACAAACUGUACAUAUGUUCUGGACUGAGUCGUGUUGGCCUUAAAAUGCACAUUAAAAUGAUUGCAUUUUAAACCCUUUGGGCUUGCAUUGGCCUACCAUUAGGUCUUGCACUAACCGGUGCACAUCCUGACUGCUACCGGCCACAGUGAAUCCAAAUGUGCAGAAAAAAUAAUUGAUUGAAAAUACGGCACAAAAAGGUUGAAAUACCGCACUGGAACAGGCGCUCUCUAUUCCACACAUUAAAUCAAUCAGAUCUGCAGAUCAGCAGUCGCCUACCUUUACAUCAUAGCAUUAUCUGUGCUGUCCGCUGGCUUGGUCCGUUGAAAGAAUAUAAUGGACUUCUGGAAUUGCACGUUUCAGUGUUGGGUGUAUUUGUACGUAGCCCACAUAUUGAUAGAUUACUUCUGGGCUUUUUAACGCAAAACUAAUUAAAAAGUGCUGAUGGAGCCUUCUGCCAAUAGGCCCAUGGGAGCUGAUAAAGGACUGAUAGCUUAUGAUAUAUAUUUAUUUCAAUGCAAUGUCUAUAUUAUCUGCACUGCUGCCAUUCAACAAUUACCUGUUCGUUGACUUUGAAAGGGCUUCGCGUUUCUUAUAGAUUCACAGGAUACCCCUUUUCCUUUUUUUUGUUGCAAUUAUUUAUCAUCAAAGGAUCAUCAUAGAGUUCUACAGAAUCCUUUAACUAGAAGUGAUGCUUGUAUUUCCAAAAAAGGCUCGUUUUUUUACACAUCAUCUCAACGUUGCAGUUCGACCCACUGAUGCUCUUCUAAAGGACAAGUUGGGCGGAUCUCAUUCUCCAGACGAGCGGUUGCCCAGCGCCAAUGUUUUGGGAAACAAUUUGACAGUCAAAUUAAUCACAAGGGCAGAUUCUGCUGACUUAAGCAUGCGUGACGGCUCUGUGACAUUUCAAUGUGCUUCGGGACAACAAUGAAAGUCUAUCUGGUGACUAGGCCGACAUCCAGCGUUGAAUAAAAAUACCAUCUCUUCAACCUGUUGUUCCGUUUGUCUGGUGGAUGUGAAUGGUGCAUUUCAGCGGUAACAAGGUCACAGGAUUGCUUCGUUUGUCUUUUUAAAUAAGGAUUUACGUAUCGAAGGAGCUGAUAGAAACAGCCUGCGUCAAGUUAAGAAACGACUCGGCGGCAACUGGCCAGUCUUGCACCUCCCCCUAGGGGUCACUUUGAGAACAGGAUAGAUUUGUCUCAAGCACAGCCAGGGCUGCGGGGAAGGUCACUUCAUUAAUCAACACUAAAUACCACUGUCCUCUCGCCUCCCCUGCUCCACCGCCAACCAGCAUCACUGAUUGAUCCUAAUAAUUAAUUCUGCUAAGUAGAGGGCGAGAGAGAGAGAGAGAGAGAGAGAGAGAGAGAGAGAGAGAGAGAGAGAGAGAGAGAGAGAGAGAGAGAGAGAGAGAGAGAGAGAGAGAGAGAGAGAGAGAGGAAAGGGGGUUGGAGAGA